rnacentral:rRNA from 1 species
UACGUAGGGUGCGAGCGUUAAUCGGAAUUACUGGGCGUAAAGCGUGCGCAGGCGGUUUUGUAAGCCAGAUGUGAAAUCCCCGGGCUUAACCUGGGAAUGGCAUUUGGGACUGCAAGGCUUGAGUGCGGCAGAGGAGACUGGAAUUCCUGGUGUAGCAGUGAAAUGCGCAGAUAUCAGGAGGAACACCGAUGGCGAAGGCAGGUCUCUGGGCUGACACUGA